rnacentral:rRNA from 1 species
GACGAACGCUGGCGGCGUGCUUAAUACAUGCAAGUCGAACGAACAGACGAGGAGCUUGCUCCUCUGACGUUAGCGGCGGACGGGUGAGUAACACGUGGAUAACCUACCUAUAAGACUGGGAUAACUUCGGGAAACCGGAGCUACUACCGGGUAAUAUAUUGAGCCGCAUGGUUCAAUAGUGAAAGACGGUUUUGCUGUCACUUAUAGAUGGAUCCGCGCCGCAUUAGCUAGUUGGUAAGGUAACGGCUUACCAAGGCAACGAUGGGUAGCCGACCUGAGAGGGUGAGCGGACACACUGGAACUGAGACACGGUCCAGACUCCUACGGGAGGCAGCAGUAGGGAAUCUUCCGCAAUGGGCGAAAGCCUGACGGAGCAACGCCGCGUGAGUGAUGAAGGUCUUCGGAUCGUAAAACUCUGUUAUUAGGGAAGAACAAAUGUGUAAGUAAUUAUGCACGUCUUGACGGUACCUAAUCAGAAAGCCACGGCUAACUACGUG